rnacentral:rRNA from 1 species
CACGUAGGGCGCAAGCGUUGUCCGGAAUUAUUGGGCGUAAAGAGCUCGUAGGCGGUCUGUUGCGUCCGCUGCGAAAACUCGGGGCUUAACCCCGAGCCUGCAGUGGAUACGGGCAGACUAGAGGUAGGUAGGGGAGAAUGGAAUUCCCGGUGUAGCGGUGAAAUGCGCAGAUAUCGGGAGGAACACCGAUGGCGAAGGCAGGUCUCUGGGCCACUACUGACGCUGAGAAGCGAAAGCAUGGGGAGCGAACAGG